rnacentral:ncRNA from 1 species
CCCCCCACAACGGCUUCCUGACGUGGUGAGGGAUAUCCCAAUGGAGCA